AUCCACGCGAAGAGUCCCGUCUAGGACGAAAUGCGCAUCGUGGAU
rnacentral:hammerhead_ribozyme from 1 species